UUUCACAUUUCUCUUUGAUUACAUUUGGUGGAGUGACAUCAGAGUCCACAUCUCCUCUACGAUCCUCAUUUUUCUUGUUGUGUUGUUCAUCAAAUAUAUGGUGGAGCUCAACAGUCAUAUUCAUGCAACGGACUUCCUCCUUCAUUUCACAGACUGGCUCGUCUUGAUCAAACUUCUGGUCCCUCAACUUCAUCAUUGCACUUACGAACCAAUGGAGUGUGGCAAAUUUUUACAUUGACAUUAUGUGGCUAAAUGUAUUAGAAAUAUAUCAAAGGAAAAAGUUAAGUUAAAAUAACACUUACCACUGAUAUGAAAUUGAUGAAACAAUUUUUUUUGAAUUCGGUUUUACAUUUUUUUUCGGUAGUGGAAGUAUAAUCCGUGGUAUAUGUAAUAUGACAUUUUUUGCCAACUGUAUGAUGGCAAUUUCUUCCACGUUCAUAUUGAAUUUCCUCCACAAAUAUUGUUUUUGGAAUACAUCUUACUUUGUCCUCAUCUACUUCUGGAAUAACUUCCACUUGAGAUCUACUAUCACCAAGCCGUUCAAUAAGUGUAAUUCUCCUAGUAUCAUCCGGAAUUUCCCGAGAUCCACUAAAUAAUUGUUCGGCGAAAAGCUUUUGUGCCUUGAGGGAAUCACAAAAUAAAAUCAAUAUAAGAAGAAUCCACAUGUCUUUAGGAACGUGAUCUUUGGGAUACUAUUAAUGAUACUAUUAAUAUUUAUUCAUAUAUACUGCUGGAUAUGAGUCAAAAUCAAGAAACAAAUUAAUAUAUUUACAUGCUUCUUUGAAUUAUACAGCUAUUAAUUUA
rnacentral:lncRNA from 1 species